ACAUCCUACAGCAACCCUACAGCGAUCCUACAGCGACCUGCAGAGUGAUCCUACAGAGAUCCUACAGCAACCUGCAGCGACCUGCAGCGACCCUGCAGCGAUCCUACAGCGACCCUACAGCGACCUGCAGAGAUCCUACAGCGACCUGCAGCGAUCCUACAGCGAUCCUACAGAGAUCCUAGAGAGAUCCUACAGCGACCCUACAGCGACCCUACAGCGACCUACAGCAACCCUACAGCGAUCCUACAGCGACCCUACAGCGAUCCUACAAUGAUCCUACAGCGACCCUACAGCGAUCCUACAGAGACCCUGCAGCGACCCUGCAGCGACCCUGCAGAGAUCCUGCAGCGACCCUACAGAGUGAUCCUACAGAGAUCCUACAGAGAUCCUACAGCGACCCUACAGCAAUCCCACAGCGACCCUACAGCGACCCUACUGCGACCCUGCAGAGAUCCUACAGCGACCCUACAGAGAUCCUACAGCAAUCCUACAGAGAUCCUACAGCGAUCCUACAGUGAUCCUACAGAGAUCCUACAGAGUGAUCCUACAGAGCGCCGCCACCCUAAGAGCAGCCCUACCAGAGCGACCCUACACAGCGACCUUACAGAGCGUCGCCACCCUACAGUGUGACCCUACCGAGUGAUCCUACAGAGCGACCCUACACAGCGGCCCUACACAGCGCCGCCACCCUACAGAGCAGCCCUACAGAGCGGCCCUACAGAGCGACCCUACAGAGCACCACCAUGACCCUACAGUGACCCUACAGAGCCCUGCCACUGCCACCCUACAGAGCGCCGCCCAUCACUGGGACCCUACAAAGCGCCACCACGACCCUACAGAGCGACCCUACAGAGCGCCCCAUCACCAGGACCCUACAAAGCGCCCUGUCACCACCACCCUACAAAGCGCCACCAGGACCCUACAGAGCGCCCUGUCACUGUGACCCUACAGGGCACCCCAUCUCUGUGACCCUACAGAGCGCCACCAUCACCAGGACCCUACAAAGCGCCACCCAUCACUGGGACCCUACAAAGCACCACCAGGACCCUACAGAGCGACCCUACACAGCGCCCUGUCACCACGACCCUACAGAGCACCUUGUCACUGUGACCCUACAGAGUGCCACCAUCACUGGGACCCUACAAAGUGCCCUGUCACCACAACCCUACAGAGCACCACCAGGACCCUACAGAGCGACCCUACAGAGCGCCCCAUCACCAGGCCCCCCCACUUUUAGGCCCCCCCACUUUCAGGUCCCCCCACUUUCAUCCCCCCCCACUUUCGGCCCCCCCACUUUCAGGUCCCCCCACUUUCAGGCCCCCCCAAUUUUCGGACCCCUCACUUUCAGGCCCCCCCACUUUCAGGCCGCCCAGCGCCAGCCCCCAUCCGUAGGGCCGCUCACCGCUGAAGUUCCCGCUGAUGACGUACGGGAUGACGCCGUCGGGCCACACGCGCUCAGGGCGGGACGUGGCGGCGCGGCGGCGGCGGAGGGGAUUUGUGGGGUGGGCGGCUGUAGGGCCGGCGCUUUGGGGCCGCGGCGGGGACGCGAAGAGCCGCAGGUCCUCCUCGUCCAGGGCGAUGUCACCAAGGAACGCGGCUGUGGGGCGGAGCAACGGGGUGUGGGGCGACAUCCAGCGCUGCGCUGCCCCAUAAGCACGGCCCUAUAG
ensembl:lncRNA